rfam:Acinetobacter tandoii DSM 14970 = CIP 107469 genomic scaffold acPFI-supercont1.22, whole genome shotgun sequence.
GCAGCGGUAGUUCAGUUGGUUAGAAUAUCGGCCUGUCACGCCGAGGGUCGCGGGUUCGAGCCCCGUCCGCUGCG